GACGGGGGGGCAAGUGUUCUUCGGAAUUACUGGGCGUGAAAGGCUACGUAGGCGGCCAACUAAGUCAGACGUGAAAUCCCUCGGCUUAACCGGGGAACUGCGUCUGAUACUGGAUGGCUAGAGGUUGGGAGAGGGAUGCGGAAUUCCAGGUGUAGCGGUGGAAAUGCGUAGAUAUCUGGAGGAACACCGGUGGCGAAGGCGGCAUCCUGGACCAAUUCGUGACGCUGAGGAGCGAAAGCCAGGGGAGCAAACGGGG
rnacentral:rRNA from 1 species